AGAGUCAUGAUGAAAGCAACCCAGAUAGCGAAGAACCUUAAAACAAAACCUACCCAGGAGUGGCUUCUUGUUGACUUAAUCUGUAUCUUCUACUGGGAGUAGAGGCAUUAUCAUUUUGAAAAGAGCCUGUCAGACCGGGAUCACUUGGGACUUGUGCUGUGGAGUGUUCUGGCCUCCAGCCCUGCAGCCAUCUGGUGACCCCAUCGCUGCCUCCUGGGCCCCCAGUGCUCACUCCUCAGCCCUGUGCCAGUUCCUUCUCUCAGCCUCCUGCCACUUGGCCUCAGCUCCUUGCCCUGGACCCUGGAGAAGUGGUUGCCAUGCCCUGUCCAAGGACACCAUGUUCGUGCCUCUAAAGAUCCAUGAGAUGUUUAAAAGGCACUGAAAUUUCAGCACAGUUCUACCAUGUGCUUCUGGGAGACCCAGAGUGGGUUGCUUAACCUCUCCAGCCUCAAUCUCAUCACCUGUAAAAUGGAUUUCAUGGGAUCAGGAAAUAGGGAGGGAAACUGAAAUCUUUGAACAGUUGAUCCCAGUAAUGUUUUGUCCACAUCAUCUGCUGCUUGCAUGGGAAAACAGGCCUGGAUUCUCUUGCUAGGACUCUGUAUAUUACUAUUGGAAGCUUCUUGAUCAUCCUUCCCCAGACAAAGCUUAUCUGCCUGUUGUCACUCAUCACCUGGGCUCUGCUAAACAGCCGCUUUUGUCUAUAUCUG
ensembl:lncRNA